AUACGUAGGUGCCAAGCGUUAUCCGGAUUUACUGGGCGUAAAGGGCGUGUAGGCGGUCUUGCAAGUCAGAAGUGAAAUUCCUGAGCUCAACUCGGGUGCUGCUUCUGAAACUGCAGGACUUGAGUGCUGGAGGGGAUAGCGGAAUUCCUAGUGGAGCGGUAAAAUGCGCAGAUAUUAGGAAGAACACCGGUGGCGAAGGCGGCUAUCUGGACAGUAACCGGAGCUGAGGCGCCAAAGCGUGGGUAGCAAACAGGAUGAGAUGCACGGCUAGUCCACGCCGUAAACGAUGAAUACUAGGUGUAGGGGGUAUCGACUCCCUCUGUGCCGCAGUUAACACAAUAAGUAUUCCGCCUGGGGAGUACGGCCGCAAGGUUGAAACUCAAAGGAAGUGACAGGG
rnacentral:rRNA from 1 species